GUAAAAUUGUCUAUAAAAAUCAAUCGAUUCCUCACCAUUUCAACUUUUCUUUUGAAAUGGAGAGGUAUGAGGGAGAGAUCCACCUCACCACCACGGCCGUGAGAAUCUCCCCAUUUACUCACGGGAGUGGGAUCCCAUCAUCCCACCCUACAGUGCAACCGUGGGUGGGUGGGUCGUGGCCCAUGGGGUAUCUCACCCUAAGGGUGGGUUGCGAGAUCCUACCUGUGAGUCUGUGACCCACCUACGAGAGAAAUUUCACCUUGCAGGUGAACGCGAGUCGCGACCACCCACCCCUGAGGUAGAAAUUAGAAUCCCCACAACCCACAAUCGGCCGGGGCUCCACCCAAGGGAAAGAUCUCCCUGACUUUCUCCCAUUAUUUUUUAAUUUUUACUUAUUUUUUAUUUUUAAAUGAAGUGGCAAAUGAGCCACAUGGCGGUCGUUGAUAGGUACAGUCUCCCCGUCUCCAUUAACGUUUUCUGUGUCUCUCCUGCACCCCAUUUCAGUUAAUACAAAACUUCAAGUCUCCAAGUUGCAAAAAUGGCGACAAAAAGAUCCACGGCUCACAAAUCGUGCUUGGAAGUUCAGGUCACAAUUUCAAUGGGAGAGAGAAAAGGUGAUGCCAUUUUCAAAUUUUAUUAAAGUUGGAGGUUGUCAACAUGCAAUCUACGCCCAAAACUUCCCUCACAUCCUGCAGGUCUGCAGGUCUGCUCAUGGCCUGACUUAAAGCCAAUUCAGUUGUUCCCAUUCCCAUAGAGGUUGUUCUAAACCAUCAUUUAGCUCCCAGCGUUCUGAGAAGAUGUUCCAGCCCCGUCACUGGGAUGUUCUUGUUGUGUUUUUCUUGUUGACAUUUCUGGGCGUCGAUCAAAUGCACGGAAGGUUCCUGAUAUCACAUACACUCUGCACAAACUGAAUUCAUGCCUCAACUGCAGGUUGAAUGUAUAGCAAAGGUGCUGGGAAGCUUAGAUUCAAAACCUGGAGUUUCAAGUAUGGACAUCAGUUGAGGAGCUUGAGGUGAAUUCCACAAAUACACGAGUAUUAUGGAAUUCAAAGCCAUUAUCGUAGAAUAUGUAAAAUAAGAUCUUUAUUUUUUUUUUAAAAAAAAAAAACAAAAUCUCCUUGAUUAUGUAAGGACCUAGCUAACAUAUCAUCUUUACAAAUUGAGUAUUGCUAUGGGUACAAUAGCUUAUACUACAAUUAUCUUACAUAUUGAUGUAGUAAUUUACUUGACACUUAUCACACUUAGAAUCAAAUUAAUAUGACAGUUUAUGUGGCACUUGAUACGUUAGCUAUUAAAAUAAAAGCCGCCAUGUAACAGUUCAUGUAGCUCUCAUUUUCAUACA